GACGAACGCUGUCGGCGUGCUUAACACAUGCAAGUCGAACGGAGUGGCGAACGGGUGAGUCACCCGUGGGUGACCUGCCCUGCACUUCGGGAUAAGCCUGGGAAACUGGGUCUAGUACCGGAUAGGGUGGGAUGGGCCCGCGGCCUAUCAGCUUGUUGGUGGGGUAAUGGCCUGCCAAGGCGGCGACGGGUAGCCGGCCUGGGGGGGUGGACGGCCACAUUGGGACUGAGGCACGGCCCAGACUCGUACGGGGGGCAGCAGUGGCGAAUAUGGCACAAUGGGCGGAAGGCUGAUGCAGCGACGCCGGGUGGGGGAUGACGGCCUUCGGGUUGUAAACUCCUUUCACCAUCGACGCGGUAGAUGGAGAAGAAGCACCGGCUAACUACGUGCCAGCAGCCGCGGUAAUUC
rnacentral:rRNA from 1 species